rnacentral:tRNA from 1 species
AUUUAGAUAGUUUAUAUUUUAGAAUAAUAGUUUGUGGUACUAUAGGAGUAACUUUAACUCUAAAUU